UAAUUGAACCAAACGGCCAAUCAGUAGCGUGGUAGCGGCGUCCAUGACCUUUGGAGCAGCAGCGUGGCUAAACAACCCCACCACAGUUCAGUUUCCUUCGGAAGAGGGGUCCCACCGGUGGAUUUUCCUGUUGGGGCAAAGACAGACAUCACCUCCCAACUGAACCCAUUUGGAUCCACACCUUCUCGAAGCUAGGGACAAGAGGAAUGUGUGUGAUGAUGCUGGGCCCCACUGUCUCUCACUGGAGAAUGUUGACACGGACUGCUGAGCCAGCUGAAGAUGCUGACAUGAUGUAUGUUCCACUAUAAGGGAGCUAUCAAUGGCCAACCAGCAGAACUUAAGUGUUGGUGUCCCAAUUUAUUCUACCAUACUACACAACACAGAAGUAACCUGGUUACACCAGCAUUGAUGCAACCUACAGUGAUCAGGCCAUACACACUGUCCUAAAAGGACGCUUCUUCUGAAGCUGCCGCACAAGAAAGCUCGCAAAAAGUUUGCCUCUUAUGGUGUUCGUUAUGUGGCAGUAUUAAGAAAACUUCCCUUGGUCUGGGCCUGUAUGUGUGUGUUUCCAGCACUGGGAAUCGGAAUUCCAACAUGUACUGUGACAUUCUAAAUCUCCAGGAACUGGACCACACUGCAGUUUUCCAACAUAAAGUACACAAGUACACCUCCAAAAUGACAACUGCGUUGCAGAGGAAGACGAAGAUGAUGGGCUGACCAAGUAUGGUUGCGGACCUAAACCCCGAUGAGCAUUUGUCGGUCAUCCCUAAAGGAAAGUUGGGAAAGCGUGGGGUUUCCAACAUUCACCAGCUCUGUGAUGUCGUGGAAGAGGAUUCCACAGUGUCAAACCUGUGCAGCUACUGUGAACUACAAGAGAGUAAAGGCAGUGCUGAAAAUCAUAGUGACCACACCAAUUUGUUUUUGGCUCAUGGUUUACUGAUACUUCAGUAAAUGCUCUUUAUAAUUGAA